GGGAUUUCGAUUUUUCCAGAAACUUCUUGUGGAUCAAGUUGAGGGCGUUGACCGUUGUUAUCAUAUUUGUAUCCUGACUCAUCCUCCAACAUUUUAUCCAAAACAUCCAUCGCAUUUAGAUACUCCCUCCGUCCCACGAAUCUUGACACGUUUUCAUUUUUGGGCCGUCCCACGAAUCAUGACACAUUUUCAAAUAAGCUUUGUGCAGGAUGGUAUUUCCAUCUUUCCUGCGGGCGAGAGACUCGUCUUGGGGCUUAAGUUUGUGCAGACGGCGGAAAACAGCGAGGUUGCCGUGAAGAGCGGCCAGGAACAAGGGCGUCUCCCCCUUUUUGUUCCGACUGUGGAGGGGGGGCUGGAGGAGAUCCUGUUCCUGGAGGCUGUCGAAGAUGGGUAGGCAUCCAACGGCAGCCGCGAGAUGGAGAGGGGUGUCUCCUCUCUGGUUCUCCGUCGCCAGCACGGUGGCUAGCGUGCCACUGCUCUUCAUGAGUUGAAUCAUGUGCGUGAGGUGGGAGGAGGGUGUUUUAGGAUGGUAAGUGGAGAUUGCGACGUGCAAAGCCGUCUCCAGUGACUUGGUCAGCUUGGUGUGGUGAAGGGUGUUGUUUUCCUUGAGAAUUUGUAACACUUGGCUCCAUCGGUUCUCCAUUGUCGCCUUAUACAGAUCAUCGAACUGCUUGCCGUCCACCGCUUCUACACACUGCCCUCCUCCGUUUUCCGGAUUCAUCUUUUGCUGCCUUCUUCUUUCUUAAUUUCUCUCGUUUUUCAGUUGCACUAAAUAAAAUACUACACCAUAUAUAAAUUAAUUUAGGAAUGUCAUCACGUAUUUCAACUUUAUUAUGUAAUAAUAAUAGUAGUAUUUCUUUUUAUAA